UACGUAGGGGGCAAGCGUUACUCGGAUUCACUGGGCGUAAAGCGCGUGUAGGCGGCUGGUCAAGCGUGGUGUGAAAUCUCCGGGCUCAACCCGGAAACUGCACCGCGAACUGGCCUGGCUGGAGUGCAGGAGAGGGAAGGGGAAUUCCUAGUGUAGCGGUGAAAUGCGCAGAUAUUAGGAGGAACACCGGUGGCGAAGGCGCCACUCUGGGCCGAAACUGACGCUGAGGAGCGAAAGCGUGGGUAGCAAACAGG
rnacentral:rRNA from 1 species